ACCAAAAAAAAUAUAUAUUCCUAUUUUGUGGGGUUUUUUCCCCAAAUCAACUUUGUAGGAAUCGGGCUUGCAGAUUUACCCCUUGUUGUUUAAAACUGGAUGAGAUGACAGUGCAAAAACCCAACUGGAAGUAACAAGGAGCAUCCUACUUUUCCUCUCCUCAGCCGUGGUGAGAAAAAACUGUGGAUCCCGGAGUUUCCCUGUGGAUUGUACUGGUUUUCCUGGAGUACUUGCUUGUUGAGAUUGCCUUGUGUCCAGGGAGGGUCAGUGCAGGAGGAGCCGAUGUGCCAGCAUCCCCAGGUGAGUUGGGAAGGUAAGUUCACGUGUCCAACCUGCUCUGAAAUGCAGGAGCAUCCCUCUGGAUAAAUAAAUACAGGUUCCAGUGAAACAUUCCUGGGGCACUGCUGGGAACACCUCGGAGAGGCCGAGAUGAACUCCAACCACUCUGUUCAGCCGCUGUCUUUCUGAUUUCACAUUGAGAAUCCAAAGGGAUUUGAAAGGAGCUGCAGUGUCAGAUGGGAUGAUUCAAGGACAGAACUUUCUAGCACUGAAAAUAAUUACGCUCUCGUGUCCUAAGCACACAUAUAGGUAUCUCAGGUACAUGCUUACUGCCUGUCCCAGAUUCCCACAUGCCCAGUACUUGGUGUGAACGUUGGUUUUCCCUUUGCGCUAGAGAAUAGGCUAGUGGAGGUGUAUUGAGCCCUCACUUAGCAAAGUCCUGCUUGCUCCCGUCUCAAACUAGGAUAAAGAUAGGGUAUUUUAUGUAUACAUAUAAAACCAUCAAUUAAAACAUGAACCUCAAACACAGAAUGGAUUCCAGAGCUGAAACUGAUUGUUCAUGAUUGCUUUCUUUUUGAGUCACUGGAGGAGAUGAAAGCAAUAACUGCCCAGGUACAGUCAAUACUACAGUAAUACCCAUGGUAAUUACAGGGGGGGUGUUUGGUUUCAGGUUUUAGGUUUAGGUUUAACUUUCUCUGGGUACUUGUUUGCUCUGUGGUUGGGUGCUGAGGAGUUGGACUGGGGGCUGUUGGUAUUGAGGAUGCUGAAGUGAUGAAAAACCGCUGCGGGGGUUUGCAGGCAAACAUUGGAUUUAAGACCUGCAGUGCUUUGGGUCAGGGGAGCGUUUGGGAUUCCUGUGUUGGAGUUUGCUGCAGAGGCAGGGAUCGGGAGCAGGACCAACCCACAGCAUGUUCAGUGCAAGGGGACAGCCCCAGCCUUUGAACCAGUGGCAUCAUCUCUGGCAUUGUCCAGGGCUUCUGGUGAUGCUGCUGCUGAAGAGAAUGAAUUGAAGGAAGUUAUCCUGUAAAGGGGAAAGGAAGCACAGGAGGUGUCAGGCUGCCUGCAUGGCUCCUGCACAGCCUCGCAGCCUGGCGUGCAAGCAUCUCCGGUAGCCUCCACUCUGCCCCAUGCUGGAGGUCACUGGUACAGGCAGAGGAGGUGAUGGAUUUCCGGGGUGUCUUUAAUAUCCAGUCAUGUUGGGUUUAUUCAUUCAGACACUAAAUGAGCAUAAUCUGGUCUUUUCUAAAAACCACAGGGUUUUAUUUCUUGCAUUUCUCAGAAAAAAGAGUAUUUUCAGGCAAACUGAACAGGUUUGAACUGUUGGAACCUGGAUUGAUUUACCUGACAUGUUAACGCUGGCACUUCUGGGAAAAUCCUUGAUGUUCAGCACCCCCUAAGAGGAAAGCAUAAGGUAAUGUUUCCCCAUAGAGCAUUUGGAAGGACCAGGCUCUUUCCAGCAGCAAAAGCAGCAGAUCUGCUGGGUGGACCCACAUAUUAAGGAUGCUUAAGGGGUGAGGGGAGGACAGUUAAUUGCUGGCUUUGUUUCUGACACUGUUUGCCCUGUGUAACUGCUUGUUCUCUUCUAGUUACAGACUCUGUGAUAGCACCCGUGAAGAAAAACCAAAGUCCUAUGGUGGUAAUGCAUGCACGUUAAAUGUCUUCAUUGUAGAGUGUUCUUCAGUGCCUUAUAGCAUGGUUUCAAAAUACAUACACACACACAUAUAUAUAUAUAUAUAAAAAUCCAAAAUACCAUUUGGAAUGUCAACAUUCAGUGGGCUUUGAGGAGAUGUAGCAGCACAUCAUGGUUUGUAGGGACAAGGAGAUACAGACCAUUCUGGGCUGCCUCAUUACCUCAAGGAUAAGACAAGAAAGUGAGCUUCUGGUUAUCAUAGAUGUGGGAGCUAACACAUUCCCAUGUAUCUCUGUAGUUGAGUUGAACAGGUACGUGUAGAUCAGCUCUUGGCGCUUGUGUCUGUGCACAUCCUCUGCAGCUCCAAAUACAUUCCCUAUGAGCUCGUGUGUCCGUGCGUCUCAGCGGGGCUGGCCUCGCAGGCAGGCAGGACAUGAGGCUCCUUUUGUCCUCCAACACGGGCACAACCAACAUUGGCACGAGCACGGUGCCUUCAGCUGGUGCCUCACCUCUUGCUUUCCCCAGCAAAGGAUCAACCCAGGUACUCUUGCCCUGUGUUUUGGGGGGGGAAGGUGGGGUUUGGGGCCGUGGCGAUGGACAGUUGUCAGCAGUGCUCUAGCAGCACGGAAAUACUGGAGUUGGGGAUUGCCUGUUGCUCUCCAGUAUUGCAUUGCUGCUUUAGUGAGGCUGGAAAUCGGUCCCUGCCGCAGGAGCCGGGCUCUGCUGCUGCGCGGGGGCUCUCGGCUCCCACCCCAAUAAAUCACUGCGGAGGCAGCAACCA